rnacentral:rRNA from 1 species
GAUGAACGCUGGUGGCGUGCCUAACACAUGCAAGUCGAGCGAUUCUCUUCGGAGAAGAGCGGCGGACGGGUGAGUAACGCGUGGGUAACCUGCCCUGUACACACGGAUAACAUACCGAAAGGUAUGCUAAUACGAGAUAACAUGCUUUUAUCGCAUGGUAGAAGUAUCAAAGCUUUUGCGGUACAGGAUGGACCCGCGUCUGAUUAGCUAGUUGGUGAGGUAACGGCUCACCAAGGCGACGAUCAGUAGCCGACCUGAGAGGGUGAUCGGCCACAUUGGAACUGAGACACGGUCCAAACUCCUACGGGAGGCAGCAGUGGGGAAUAGUGCACAAUGGGCGAAAGCCUGAUGCAGCAACGCCGCGUGAGCGAUGAAGGCCUUCGGGUCGUAAAGCUCUGUCCUCAAGGAAGAUAAUGACGGUACUUGAGGAGGAAGCCCCGGCUAACUACGU